CAUGGAACCUUGUGGAAGAACCUAGCAGUUAGUGUUCAGACUAACUGUUUUACUGACGGGUAUGAAACAGCAAUAGAAACCCACGACAGGAUGAGCAGUGGGAUUGCUGCCACAGGGUGCUACCAAGCUUGUUUUUGUAAAAAAUGGAGGUAUUCAGCAGCAAACUUGAAUGCAUGGAGUUGGCGUGGAGGUGUACACACAGUUCCUGUUAAAAACCUGGGUUCAAGAGACGGAGGCAGGAGGAGCCCAAGCUUAAUCCUCUAUCUCAAAAUCAAAAACAAAAACGAUACAAUUCAAAAGCCUGGCCUUUCUCCAUCGUCGUGUGUGCCUUAUACACUAUUGACUUUGAGCUCUUCAACCCACGGACCAUGCUCUGACCUGGCUAGCCCUUCCCUUCUGAGGCAUCUCAGCCAGAAGACUGUGCAGAGAGCGCCACUGGAAGACUCCACCUCUUCAGUUGUGGGAGACACAGAGAAAAGCACGUACCAUGCUCACUACAGCUCCAAGGACUUCUGCACAGAGCCAAGCCCCAUUUAUCCCAUCCUGGCACCCCAUGACGGUUUGAAGUUUCAAGCCAAGACUACACUUAAAAGGAAAACAAAACCAGAUCAGGUGGGCCAACACCUAGGAUCCAGAACUAUACUGGAUCAGUGUAUCAGUAAAUACUUCAUAAACGUUUAACUGAGUAUUCAGGAGUCAAUAUAAUAGCACUCUACAAAAAAUAGUAGCUUCCCCCUGCUGGAGAUAAGAGAAAAAUAUCUUGAUAAAGACUAUAUUAAAAAUAUAUCAAUGCA